GUUAGACCAUCUCAGCCGCCCGUUCUAUCGUUCUGUGAUGUAAGCCGUCCGAUCGCGCUGUGCUCGUCUUCUUUCGACGCUUCCCCGCGAAUCCCGCUGCCCGGCUUCCGGUCUCCGCUUCCCCCGUACGCAGUGGGCACCAUGGACCCUUCGGUCUCCUCGUCGCCUCUCCGGCUCUCCGUCGGAACCCGCGCCAGCCCGGGUGCAGGCCCCGCCCCCGCCCCUACCCCGAGGCCGCCCAGCCUCGUCGUCGCGGCCGGCCGCCAACAGCCCGCCAAGAUAUAUAGAAGCGCUUGGUGAAACUUGGGUCGGGGCGCUGCUAGCGCUCGCGGACGCCGUGUGCCACCGCGGCGAGCCGCGCGAGAUCUCCCGCGUCCUCCCGGUUCUCAGGGACCACGGUGUCUGCGCCGACGCGCACCUCUACAACGCGCUGAUGAAGGCGAGCGUCGCGGCGUACGACCCUGGGCCGUCCUCAGGGUGUUUCGGUAGAUGAGGAGCAACGGCGUGGACCCCGACCUCGUCACCUACAACAUGUGUGAUUUGAGAGAGCAAACGAGACAUUCAGUGGUGGUUUUCAGCAGGAAGCAAGGGUGAAGAUGCUACAGCUACGCCAUUAUCAUGUGCAGGAUGGGGUUCAGCUGAAAGCGGCAAAUCCUGCUCAAGGACGACGCUCACUCCUUCAGGCGCUUUGCCUUGCCUUUGCUGGAGUAGACGACCCAACAGUUUCCAGGAUGAUAUACUUACUCGAAAAAAAUACUGAAGCAUUGUGAAUGAUCUAGAAUGCAAUGCAACGACAGAGGGUAAGCGAUUGCUUCGGCAGGAGAAAGCAGAUGCCUUUUCUGCUGCUGUGACCUACUAGCGGUCGUUUCUGUUGGGUGUUGCCAUGACCAGACCAACCUUGUUUGUUGUCAUUGUCACUGUCCGGUCGCCCUGGCCCAUGGAUCCAAAAUCCAUCCAUUCCAUUGUAUAUUCAGCAACAAAAAAAGAACGAUAUAAAAAAACUCGGUCGAGGAGGGAAAGACCGCCCUCCCGGUAUUAUAUUAAGAAGAGACCGAAGUUCAUAGUUGCAUAUGUAUGUGUAUUUCAACUG